rnacentral:rRNA from 1 species
UGCAAGUCGAACGGCAAGUUGAAUAGCAAUAUUUGACCUAGAGUGACGUACGGGUGCGUAACACGUAUGCAACCUACCCUUUACAGGCGGAUAGCUCGGGGAAACCCGAAUUAACCCGCCGUAGUAUAAUAGAAUGGCAUCAUUUCAUUAUUAAAACUCCGGUGGUAAAGGAUGGGCAUGCGUCUGAUUAGUUAGUUGGUAGUGUAACGGACUACCAAGACGAUGAUCAGUAGGGGAACUGAGAGGUUGAUCCCCCACACUGGCACUGAGAUACGGGCCAGACUCCUACGGGAGGCAGCAGUAGGGAAUAUUGGUCAAUGGAUGCAAGUCUGAACCAGCCAUGCCGCGUGCAGGAAGAAGGCCUUCUGGGUUGUAAACUGCUUUUGUCAGGGGAUAAAAUUUCCUUGCGAGGAAAAUUGAAGGUACCUGGCGAAUAAGCCACGGCUAACUACGUGCCAGCAGCCGCGGUAAUACGUAGGUGGCAAGCGUUGUCCGGAUUUAUUGGGUUUAAAGGGUGCGUAGGCGGCCCUGUAAGUCAGUGGUGAAACAUUUCAGCUCAACUGGAAUUGUGCCAUUGAUACUGCGGGGCUUGAGUACAGAUGAGGUAGGCGGAAUUGACGGUGUAGCGGUGAAAUGCUUAGAUAUCGUCAAGAACACCUAUAGCGAAGGCAGCUUACUAGGCUGUAACUGACGCUGAGGCACGAAAGUGUGGGGAUCAAACAGGAUUAGAUACCCUGGUAGUCCACACUGUAAACGUUGAUUACUCGCUGUGUGCGAUAUACAGUACGCGGCCAAGCGAAAGCGCUAAGUAAUCCACCUGGGGAGUACGCCGGCAACGGUGAAACUCAAAGGAAUUGACG